AUUGAACGCUGGCGGCAGGCCUAACACAUGCAAGUCGAACGGUAACAGGAAGAAGCUUGCUUCUUUGCUGACGAGUGGCGGAUGGGUGAGUAAUGUCUGGGAAACUGCCUGAUGGAGGGGGAUAACUACUGGAAACGGUAGCUAAUACCGCAUAACGUCGCAAGACCAAAGAGGGGGACCUUCGGGCCUCUUGCCAUCGGAUGUGCCCAGAUGGGAUUAGCUAGUAGGUGGGGUAACGGCUCACCUAGGCGACGAUCCCUAGCUGGUCUGAGAGGAUGACCAGCCACACUGGAACUGAGACACGGUCCAGACUCCUACGGGAGGCAGCAGUGGGGAAUAUUGCACAAAGGGCGCAAGCCUGAUGCAGCCAUGCCGCGUGUAUGAAGAAGGCCUUCGGGUUGUAAAGUACUUUCAGCGGGGAGGAAGGGAGUAAAGUUAAUACCUUUGCUCAUUGACGUUACCCGCAGAAGAAGCACCGGCUAACUCCGUG
rnacentral:rRNA from 1 species